rnacentral:rRNA from 1 species
UACGGGGGGAGCAAGCGUUGUUCGGAUUUACUGGGCGUAAAGGGCGCGUAGGCGGCCCGCUAAGUCGAACGUGAAAUACCUGGGCUCAACCCGGGAAUGGCAGCUGAAACCGCGGGUCUUGAAUACCUGAGAGGGUGGGGGAAUACCUGGUGGAGAAGUGAAAUUCGUAGAGAUCAGGUGGAACACCGGAGGCGAAGGCGCCUGCCUGGCAGUGUAUUGACGCUAAAGUGCGAAAAGUGCGGGGAGCAAACAGG